AUGAGCUUUAUAAGUCAUAAAGUCAUAAAACCAUAUUUUAUCUCUUACAUGCAUAGGGAAGAAAAUAUGGUUGAAAUUGUUAAGUUUGUUUAUGUUAUGAUUAUCUUUAUUUCUCUGUUUUUUGGUGCAAUGAAUGUUGAUGCACGUACUAUUCGUAUAUGUUCUCACGAUUAUGAUUGUAUAGGGUAUUUUUGCCCGUAUUCUAUACAACCGCGUUCUACAAAACCACUUUGUCGUCUAGUUGGAGGGAUUUGGAAGCCAAGUGGAGAGCCGGUAGGUUUGUGUACAUGUAUUUGAGAGAUGACACCCGAUAGUUUGUAUUUUUUUUUCAUUUUUUAUUUUAAUGGACCAUAGUCAUAAUUUUGUACAUUGUAAUAAAUUAAGUAAGUAAUUAGAAAUUAAAGAUUAUAUUGUCUUCUUCUUUAUUAA